UGCCCACUGAUAAAUUUUAUUGAAGGGCUGCAGUAUUUUGACUGUACAAAGGUAGCAUAGUAAAUAGUCAUUUAAUUGGUGACUUGUAUGAAGGAUUGGAUGAAAUAUAAACUGUCUUAAAUGUAAAUUUAAAAUUUAAUUUUUUAGUUAAAAAGCUAAAAUAAAUUAAAAAGACGAGAAGACCCUAUAGAGUUUAAUUGAAUAUUUUUAAUUGAGAAUAUUUUAUGUAAAUAAGAAAUUAAAUUUAAAUUUUAAUUUUGUUGGGGUGAUGAAAAAAUUUAAUUAACUUUUUUUAAUUAAUUUACAUUAAUAAGUGAAUAUUUGAUCCAAUUUUAUUGAUUAUAAGAAAAAAUUACCUUAGGGAUAACAGCGUAAUUUUUUUUUUUAGUUCUUAUAAAAAGAAGAGUUUGCGACCUCGAUGUUGGAUUAAGAUAAAAUUUAAAUGUAGAAGUUUAAGGUUUUGA
rnacentral:rRNA from 1 species